AGUGCGAUCUCCACAUGUUAAUCAUUUGCUAAUAAAUAGCACUUGGCGGCCAACAUGAUCUUUAUGGCACACGUCAUAUAUUGUUUAAUAAGUGCCUAAUCUAAUAAAACACGUGUGGUCACCAUGAUCUUUAUCCACGCCAUAUAUUGGUGAAUUGGGCUGCUACAUUGUGGCUUUUGUGGCCCAAUUGGGACUUGUUUGUUUUGGCCUUCACCUCCCUUUUUGCUUCCUGACUCGAUCUAAUUCUUUAUUAGCAUUUAUUUUGCAACUUAUAAAUUAUUUGGUAGCUUCCGGACAUUCCUGAAAUACAUA
rnacentral:lncRNA from 1 species